UGGGGAUGCUUCCAUGCCAACAGAAGACCCCAGCCUUGUCAGGGCCUGUGGUGAGGCGUAAGAAAAAUGUGGGUGCCGAAUCCAAACUGACAGGAGUCUCCAGCCUCUUUAGGAUCAGCACUUUGGCUUCAGGACAUAUGGGGCUGCGUCUAUGCUGACAGGAGCCCACAGCCCCCUCAGGACCCGCAGUGAGUUUUCUGGGGGCCAUGGGGCCAUGUCCAGGCUGACAGGAGCCCUCGGCCUCCUGAGGACCUGCUGUGAGGCUUCCAGAGGAUGUGAGGCAUAGUCCACAGUGACAGGAGACCCGGCGUCCUCAGGACCCGUUGACUAUCACUCAGGAACACGUGGGGUCACAUCCACACUCACAGGAUCCUGGCUUCCUCAGGACCCCCUGGAGGACUCUGGAGGUGCCGUUGGGGACCACGUCCACAUCAGAAGGGACUACUCAGAACCACAGGACUGUUGUGCCCAAGAUUGCGAAUCCGAAAAACCAUGGAGAAGCCCACACUGAAGCAAACACAUGAGGGUUUAUUUACAAGCUCGAGCUUGUGUCCAAGUAUACCUGACAGUGCGGAGCAGGGACUUCGACCCCGAGGACCCCCUGGAGGACUCUGGAGGCGCUGUUGGGGGUCACGUCCACAUCAGAAGGGACUACUCAGAACCACAGGACUGUUUUGCCCAAGAUUGCGAAUCCGAGAAACCACCGAGAAG